rnacentral:tRNA from 1 species
UAUCUAAUUAUUUUAAUAUAUAAAAAUUUGAUUUUUAGGAUCUUUAUUAGGUUGAAGAGGUAUA